UGAGGGAAUCAGUCUCUUGGAUGGCAAAUG
rnacentral:piRNA from 2 species